UAAAAUACAGGGAAAUGGGGCAAAGCUACCCAACAUACAACAAAGGCCUAUUAAAAGAGAUAGAAAGAAAUACAUCAGAAAAAGUCAAUGGUGUCGAUGUCCACAUCAUCGAUGCUGUUCACCUGAUGUAACUCCUCCUGAGUCACUGGAUCUCUAUUUACAGGGAUGUCAGACCUAUACAAAGGAGGAUCUGUGCCGACAAAACCAAAUGGGUCAUCCGAGGGACCAGCGCCAGAGCUGGAAGGAUCAAAAGUAUCUACCUCUACAGGAUCUCUGCCCAAAUGCCGAAUGAAAAGAUGUGACCAGUCCAACUACCGAGUUAAUCUCUCAAUCUGUGUCACGUGAGUCAGAUCUCUGACACAGG
rnacentral:lncRNA from 1 species